UGAAUAGUCAGGCAAACCUAUUGAAAGGUAGGGACGCAAAGCUAGAGGGACUAAAUCCGCAAGGGUAAGUCAGCCAGUUGCAUGA
rnacentral:ncRNA from 1 species